UGUUAUUUCCCCCGCACCCAGGUUUCUCACACAGAGGACGAAUGCCUGCAGUUUAAAGCUCACCAGUUUUUCGAAGUUGGUCUCAUUCAGCCGGCAUCCGUCACAGUCUACGACUAUUACACCAUAGAUGACCGAUGCACCAAGUUCUACCGCCUGUCUAACCAGAGCGGGCUCUUCAAUAAGAUCUGUUACGGGGAAGUCUGCCGGUGUGCAGAAGAAAGCUGCUUCAUGCAGCAGAAGAUAGAGGGUCCCAUCA